rnacentral:rRNA from 1 species
UGCAUNAUCAAUUAAGCGGAGGAAAAGAAACCAACCGGGAUUGCCUUAGUAACGGCGAGUGAAGCGGCAAAAGCUCAAAUUUGAAAUCUAGUACCUUUGGUGCUCGAGUUGUAAUUUGUAGAGGGAUACUUUGGGGCCGUCUCUUAUCUAUGUUCCUUGGAACAGGACGUCAUAGAGGGUGAGAAUCCCGUAUGAUGAGAGUCGCGGUUCUAUGUAAAGUUCCUUCGAAGAGUCGAGUUGUUUGGGAAUGCAGCUCUAAGUGGGUGGUAAAUUCCAUCUAAAGCUAAAUAUUGGCGAGAGACCGAUAGCGAACAAGUACAGUGAUGGAAAGAUGAAAAGAACUUUGAAAAGAGAGUGAAAAAGUACGUGAAAUUGUUGAAAGGGAAGGGCAUUUGAUCAGACAUGGUGUUUUGCGCCCUCUGCUCCUUGUGGGUGGGGGACUCUCGCAGCUCACUGGGCCAGCAUCAGUUUUGGCGGUAGGAUAAAUCCAUAGGAAUGUAGCUUGCCUCGGUAAGUGUUAUAGCCUGUGGGAAUACUGCCAGCCGGGACUGAGGACUGCGACAUUCGUCAAGGAUGCUGGCAUAAUGGUUAUAUGCCGCCCGUCUG